AAAUACCAAGAGAAGCUCAUUCGAAGAAACAACCAUAAAGAUUCUGACUAGUGAUUAGAGAGACAAUUACGAAUGUUCUGAUUAGCGAAUUGUUAUCAGUGGCUGUUGUAGUUAUUGGAUGCAAAACCAUCUAUUCUAGACAAAAUCUGGAGGACAUUUUUCCAAGCAGUCCUGGUAACACACGGGGCCAACAUCGCCUCAACGGGUUCGGCAGUAGAAGGUACAGGCUUUGUCGCAGUAGUCUCGGCACUCCUCGUCAUGGCAGUCCUCCAGACCGAUCGGUCCUUUGUGAGUUGUUGUUGAGUCUGCAAUCGCCGCUGUCAAUAGCAUCGCCAGGACUAGAAGACGUGUAUUCUUUACCCCCAUUUUCUGCA
rnacentral:lncRNA from 1 species